rnacentral:rRNA from 1 species
ACAACCAGGAUGUUGGCUUAGAAGCAGCCACUCAUUCAAAGAGUGCGUAAUAGCUCACUGGUCGAGUGAAUGUGCGCCGAAAAUAUACCGGGGCUAAACGUGAUACCGAAGUCUGGGGAUCAAGAAAUUGAUCGGUAGGGGAGCAACGCAUACGGACAGAAGCAGAAGCGGGAGCGACUGUGGACUGUAUGGGAGAGAGAAUGCCGGCAUGAGUAGCGAGAGCAAAGUGAGAAUCUUUGCCGUCGAAAGCCUAAGGUUUCCUGAGGAAGGCUCGUCCUCUCAGGGUAAGUCGGGACCUAAGCCGAGGACAAGAGUCGUAGGCGAUGGAUAACAGGUUGAUAUUCCUGUACCGUACUUAAGCGUUUGACUGAAGCAGUGACACAGAAGGAUAGACAGACCGAGUGAAUGGAAGAACUCGGCCAAGCAGUGAGGCUGACAUGUAGUGAAGUACGCAUGUUAAGGCUGGGCUGUGAUGGGGACUGAAGAUUAGUAAGGAAGCUGUUGAAUUCACACUGGCGAGAAAAGCUGCUAAGGAGCGAGAGUAUGCCCGUACCGCAAACCGACACAGGUAGGCGAGGAGAGAAUCCUAAGACGAGCGGGAGAACCCUUGUUAAGGAACUCGGCAAAAUGACUCCGUAACUUAGGGAGAAGGAGUGCCUCGAGAGAGGCCGCAGAGAAUAGGCCCAAGCGACUGUUUACCAAAAACACAGGUCUGUGCGAAGUAGAGAUACGACGUAUACGGGCUGACGCCUGCCCAGUGCCGGAAGGUUAAGGGGAAGUGUUAGGGCAACCGAAGCACGGAACUUAAGCCCCGGUGAACGGCGGCCGUAACUAUAACGGUCCUAAGGUAGCGAAAUUCCUUGUCGGGUAAGUUCCGACCCGCACGAAUGGCGUAACGACUUGGGCACUGUCUCAACAAGGGACCCGGCGAAAUUGUAGUAUGUGUGAAGAUGCACAUUACCCGCGAUAGGACGGAAAGACCCCGUAGAGCUUUACUGUAGUUUAACAUUGGAUUUUGAUAACACAUGUACAGGAUAGGUGGGAGGCUGAGAAACCGGCACGCCAGUGCCGAUGGAGCCGCUGUUGGGAUACCACUCUUGUGUUAUUGGAGUUCUAACGAAGUGCCGUAAACCGGGCUUCGGACAGUGUUAGAUGGGCAGUUUGACUGGGGCGGUCGCCUCCGAAAGAGUAACGGAGGCGUCCAAAGGUUCCCUCAGAAUGGUUGGAAACCAUUCACAGAGUGCAAAGGCAGAAGGGAGCUUGACUGCGAGACCGACAGGUCGAGCAGGUACGAAAGUAGGGCUUAGUGAUCCGGCGGUAUGAGAGUGGAAUUGCCGUCGCUCAACGGAUAAAAGCUA